UACGUAGGCAGCGAGCGUUGUUCGGAAUUACUGGGCGUAAAGAGUGUGUAGGCGGUGCUCUAAGUUCGGUGUGAAAUCUCCUGCUUAACUGGGAGGGUGCGCCGGAAACUGGAGUGCUCGAACGUGGGAGAGGAAAGCGGAAUUCCUGGUGUAGCGGUGAAAUGCGUAGAUAUCUGGAGGAACACCGGUGGCGAAGGCGGCAUUCUGGACCGACAUUGACGCUGAGGAGCGAAAGCCAGGGGAGCAAACGGG
rnacentral:rRNA from 1 species